AAUGGAUCAUUGACCUAAAUGUAAGAGCUGAACCUAUAAAAUGUCUAGAAGAAAACAUAGGAGACAAUCUUUGAGACCUUGGGUUAAGCUAAUAUUUCUUAGAGGGGACGCAAAAGCACAAACCCUAAAAGAAAAAAAUCAAUAAGUAGGACUUCAUCAAAACGAAAAACUCGCGAUCUUCGAAAGAAAAUGAAAAGGCGAGCCAUGAACUGGGAGAAAAUAUUUGUAACACAUGUAUCUGAUAAAAGACAUGUCCACAAUAAUAAGGAAUAAACAAGGAACUCCUACAAUUCAAUCACAGGACAAACAACCCAGUUAAAAAAUGAUCAAGAGGGUUGAACAAAAGUAAAUGGACGGAGGUUGGUGGGCGCCAGGCUCCUCACUGUUGCGGGGGGGAGAUGGGCUGGCAGGGAAGGCUAGAAGGAGCCCUGUGUCGUCAGAUUAGAGUCGGAGGCGUCCUGUGUAUAGCGUAGUAUAUACACACGUGGACGGAAGCAGAAGCAGUCAUGGUCCGUGUGUACAGGUCUGUGUGUGCUGUGAGUCAGCACGCGGAAUAACCCAGUUCUGCCUGCGGAGAGGGCACGGGGGACUUCAGCUCACGGGCCUCAGGAGACCAGCAAGGUGUCUGCACAACCAGGCCUCCUGAGAACCCGUCAGGCGGCUGCUGUCGGCCUCUGACGCCCUCUGUGGUCACCAAGAUCUGGCGCUGUGAGGAGACGAGGUCCUGGCGGAGAGGCUGGAAGCACACGGAGGGGUUCUGACACCAGGCGAGUGUGCAGAUGCUCAGGAGUGAACAGAGACCUAAGGAGGAGCCACAGCCGAAUGCACUGUAGAAGGCCUUAGAGGAGGCUGAGGCCCGAGGGCUCCCCCAGAUCAGGGUCACCCCAACACCAUGACUGUCCUCAGACUCAGCCAGCUGCCCAUGUUCCCCGUACCGCACAGAAGCAGCUCAGGAACCGAGUGCGUCUGAGUCUGAAGGUUCGAGACAUCGAGAACUACAACUGAUCAAUAUCACUUCAAAGCUGUUGGUGAAUAUUGUUAGUUCCGGAAUCAUUUAUUGCUGAGUUUUAAUCACCUUUGAAAAACUCAUCUACUUUGUGGCAUACCUCCUUUAUUCUGACAAACUCACUAGGCUGUCCCUCAUGCUCUGUCUGCAGCGAUACAGCCAGCUUCCCGCGGCAGAAACUGCUAACCCUCCUUCCUCUUAGUAGGAGAACCCCUGAGUUUUGUCUGGUCACGUGGCUGUGCAACUUUAUUUCUCAGCAUCCCAGGCAGCAAGAUGUGGGCUACAGAAAACCAAGUUUUGCUGAUGGGAUGUGAGCAGAAAUGAUGUGUGCGACUCCAGCAUCAUCUUCUUAAAGAUAGAGAGAGAGCCUUGCUUGCGACUCCCUCUCUCCCUCUUUCUUCCCUGGCUGGAUAGUGGCUACAACUGCAGUGGCAUCCUUGACUCAAAGAACGGCAGGAGCAACAGCCUGGGUCCCAGGACGGUCUCACCAAGUGGAGUCCACCCGCCAGUUUACGACUGGAACGUGAAAGAAAAACCACCACUGUUGGGCCCAGUAGUUCUGCUUUACAGCAGUGUAGCCUGCACUCGGAUUCACCCGUCUGUCGAGUGCUACCUCGUGCCCACACUGUCCUGUGAACACUUGUGCUCAGUGUCUCAUUCAGCUCUCUUAACCACCCUGUCAAGACAGCACUAAUGUCCCUGCUUGGCAGAUCGCUAAACUGAGGUUCAGACAGGGUGAGGAACUUACUCACAAUUUCACAGCUGCUGAACGGCGUAAGGAGUCCACUGCAGAGCUGGCUCCCUACACAGUCCUGCUCUAUCUCCCACGUUUUGCUGCUGAGCCCUUAGGAAUUUGUUCCUCCUGCUGGCGUGGCCUUGCAGAAGUGUUGGUUGAACAUGGGAAAACGUUCACUUCCCCAAAUCCUACUUUCUUUAUCAAAAAGAGAGUUGAUACCCGUUGUUACUAAAGGUAACAGAACAAGUGGGAUGGGCCAUUUCCAGUUUUCUUUUUUCCUCCUUUGAUUCUCUCUGCAUUUUCUUCUUGCAACAUUCUUAACGAGGUUCUAGCUCUCUGGACCCAAGGAGUCAUUUUCUGUAAUAAGUUCCCUGUUCUGAUUUAUAACCGAGGGGAAGUUCUAAGACUGUUGGAAGAAUUAAACUUCUUGCUCUGUAAGAUUCUUUUUGCUAGUAUAUAUUUUUUAAUUAUAGGAGAACGUCCUCAGAAUAUAUAAAUAUAAUCUCUAUCUACAUGCACAGCACGAUGGUGGGUCUAUUGCUUUAUUCGUCUGGGACGCCUCAGCCGCGGGGAGCUGAGUUAGAACUGAAUUCUAGCAGAGUUGUGCUUUACUUUAUGGCUUAGAACCGGGAAGCGCCGAGGUUAAAAGCACGCUGAUAGCUUGAGGAAACAGUUGAGUGUGUGGUGCUGGGAGAGAGGAUGCGGUCUAAGUCAUACAAAAAACAAAUAUUUGAGUCCACUGAUUGUCAGGCACCAUACGAGGCUACACAAAUAAAUAAGACACAGGCUUCAUGUACAAGGUGUUUGAUUUCUGCUUUUUAAUUUAUCUGAGUUAUUAUAGGUUUUAUUUUUUGGGUCUUCUGUGUUGUAGCCUAUGGAAAAUAUAGUUUUCUUUUUAGAAAAAGAGCUUUGAGAGGUAAUAAUGUGCUGACCUGGAACCAGCUCAUCCCUCAUUGAUGUCACUAUUCAAAACGGCAGGGCCUGCUUGCACUACUCAGAGGGAAGAAUGAAAAGGGACAUAAAUCAGGAGGAAGGACGAAUGGAAUCUGAGGUGUUCGGGGGCAGAAGACGGGAGUUUGCUUCAGAAACUCGAAUGAAAUAGAAUCUGACAUAGAUCUUCUGAAUCCGACAAUCUGGGCUUGCAGCUUGGCCGUGCCCCACGGCUUCAGACAACCUCCUCCAACGCUGAGCGCACACUUGUUCAAAACUGACCAUGUGCCCGACGCUGAACAGAGCGUCUGCUGUGGUGAACGUCCCAGGUGGAGUGCCUGCCCUCGUGUGGGCUCAGUGGUAAAUAACUGAAGAAAUAAAGCCCCGAAGGGAAUGGGUACGUACCCUUUAGAGAGGGUGGCAAGGAAGACCUCUCUGAGAAGGUGUCAUUUGAGCUGAGACCCAAAUGAAGCAGAUUCUUUCCCCUCUGAGCUUUAGUUUUCUCAUCCAUACAAUGAAAGACAACAAAGGUCCACCUCCCAGGGUUUUAAAAAUAGGAUCAGAGAGUAUAUGGUCUUAGCAAACCACAUUCACUAGUCAAACUGAGAUACUAUUACUUUUACUGUUACUCUUCAUUUUCUCUUUGGAAAUGUCACCUUGGGCAUUUUUGAAGGCUGGGUGGAGAAAGGAGAAGAUUAUAGAAAAUGGUAAAGAGCAUAAAAAAGAAGCUUAACUUGCUUCAUAAUUUAGUAUAGAGCAUCUGUCGUACUUAUUCACGCUUUUUCAUAAUCCAGUCUUUAAAUUACAAUUCUGCAACAAUUCAUUUUUUGAAGGUAACAUUUUCCCCCAAAUUUAAAAAUAAUCUUUAUUGAGGUAUAAUUUACACACAAUAAAAUGCACCUACUGUGUGCAUACAGUCAAUGCAUUUUGACAAAUGAAUACACCUGUGCCACCAGUGCCACAAACGAGACACGCACAUUUCUACCGUCACGUGUGUCCCUUCUCAUUCACUCCUCUGCACCCCUUGUCCCUGGGCAGCUGCUGAUCUGCCUUCUGGCACUAUAGACUUGUUUGCCAUUUCUAGAAUUUUGCAUAGAUGGAAGCAUACGGUGUGUGAUCUUUUGAGUCUGGUUUCUUUUACUCAGCAUGAUGAUUUCAAGAUUCUUCUAUGUUGUUGCAUGCGUCCAAAGUUCAUUUCGUUUUAUUGCUGAACAGUGUUCCAUUGCAAGGAUUUAGAACAAUCUGUUUAUUUAGUCACUCAUUGAUGGGCAUGUGGGUUUUCUCUGGUUGUGGGCUUUUAUUAAUAAAGUUCCUAUCAAUAUUCAC
rnacentral:lncRNA from 1 species